rnacentral:rRNA from 1 species
GAGUUUGAUCAUGGCUCAGGAUGAACGCUGGCGGCGUGCCUAAUACAUGCAAGUCGAGCGAACGGACGAGAAGCUUGCUUCUCUGAUGUUAGCGGCGGACGGGUGAGUAACACGUGGAUAACCUACCUAUAAGACUGGGAUAACUUCGGGAAACCGGAGCUAAUACCGGAUAAUAUUUUGAACCGCAUGGUUCAAAAAGUGAAAGACGGUCUUGCUGUCACUUAUAGAUGGAUCCGCGCUGCAUUAGCUAGUUGGUAAGGUAACGGCUUACCAAGGCAACGAUGCAUAGCCGACCUGAGAGGGUGAUCGGCCACACUGGAACUGAGACACGGUCCAGACUCCUACGGGAGGCAGCAGUAGGGAAUCUUCCGCAAUGGGCGAAAGCCUGACGGAGCAACGCCGCGUGAGUGAUGAAGGUCUUCGGAUCGUAAAACUCUGUUAUUAGGGAAGAACAUAUGUGUAAGUAACUGUGCACAUCUUGACGGUACCUAAUCAGAAAGCCACGGCUAACUA